rnacentral:rRNA from 1 species
UACGUAGGGGGCGAGCGUUGUCCGGAAUCAUUGGGCGUAAAGCGCGUGUAGGCGGCCCGGUAAGUCCGCUGUGAAAGUCCAGGGCUCAACCCUGGGAUGCCGGUGGAUACUGUCGGGCUCGAGUCCGGAAGAGGCGAGUGGAAUUCCUGGUGUAGCGGUGAAAUGCGUAGAUAUCCGGAGGAACACCGGUGGCGAAGGCGGCUUCCUGGACCGAUACUGACGCUGAGGCGCGAAAGCUAGGGGAGCAAACGGG